AAAGUGAGGAAUAGCCACCGAAAGGUGGUCUAAUACUUCAUAAUAUCCAUCUCGUAUGGAUUAAAGCUUUAUGCGCUUUGGGAGGGGCCUGCGUAACAUUAGCUUGUUGGUGAGGUAAAGCUCACCAAGGCUUCGAUGUUUAACUGGUUUGAGAGGAUGACCAGUCACACUGGGACUGAGAUACGGCCCAGACUCCUACGGGAGGCAGCAGUAAGGAAUCUUCCACAAUGGGGCAACCCUGAUGGAGCAAUACCGCGUGCAGGAUGAAGCGUUUCGGCGUGUAAACUGCUUUUAUCACCGAAGAUUAUGACUGUAGGUGAAGAAUAAGGACCGGCUAACUACGUG
rnacentral:rRNA from 1 species